CCUACGGGAGGCAGCAGUGAGGAAUAUUGGUCAAUGGACGAGAGUCUGAACCAGCCAAGUAGCGUGAAGGAUGACUGCCCUAUGGGUUGUAAACUUCUUGUAUAGGGGUAUACAAUGUGCCACGUGUGGGAUUUUGUAUGUACCAUAUGAAUAAGGAUCGGCUAACUCCGUGCCAGCAGCCGCGGUAAUACGGAGGAUCCGAGCGUUAUCCGGAUUUAUUGGGUUUAAGGGGAGCGUAGGUGGAUUGUUAAGUCAGUUGUGAAAGUUUGCGGCUCAACCGUAAAAUUGCAGUUGAAACUGGCAGGCUUGAGUGCAGUAGAGGUGGGCGGAAUUCGUGGUGUAGCGGUGAAAUGCUUAGAUAUCACGAAGAACUCCGAUUGCGAAGGCAGUUCACUGGACUGCAACUGACACUGAGGCUCGAAAGUGUGGGUAUCAAACAGGAUUAGAUACCCGUGUAGUC
rnacentral:rRNA from 1 species